rnacentral:rRNA from 1 species
AUACGGAGGGUGCAAGCGUUAAUCGGAAUUACUGGGCGUAAAGCGUGCGUAGGCGGUUCGUUAAGUCUGCUGUGAAAGCCCCGGGCUCAACCUGGGAAUGGCAGUGGAUACUGGCGAGCUAGAGUGUGUCAGAGGAUGGUGGAAUUCCCGGUGUAGCGGUGAAAUGCGUAGAGAUCGGGAGGAACAUCAGUGGCGAAGGCGGCCAUCUGGGACAACACUGACGCUGAGGCACGAAAGCGUAGGGAGCAAACAG